GUUGUCAUUUGUUUAUGUGUUACAUAUUUGUUUUUCGUUCAUUUUUUGUGCAUACACUAGGCCGUUAGUUUUCUCGUUUAAAUUGUUUUACAUUGUCAUGUCGGGGUUUAUUAUAGCUGAUUAUGCGGUAUGGGCUUUGCGCAUUGUUGAAAGCUGUACAAUGACCUUUAGUUGUUAACUUAUGUGUCACGUUGGUCUCUGGUGCAUAGUUGUCUCAUUGGCAAUCAUAUCACAUCUUUUUUUUUAUAUAUAUACAUAUAGCUUG
rnacentral:lncRNA from 1 species